rnacentral:rRNA from 1 species
CCCGAGUGCUUGCACUCAAUUGGAAAGAAGAGUGGCGGACGGGUGAGUAACACGUGGGUAACCUACCCAUCAGAGGGGGAUAACACUUGGAAACAGGUGCUAAUACCGCAUAACAGUUUAUGCCGCAUGGCAUAAGAGUGAAAGGCGCUUUCGGGUGUCGCUGAUGGAUGGACCCGCGGUGCAUUAGCUAGUUGGUGAGGUAACGGCUCACCAAGGCCACGAUGCAUAGCCGACCUGAGAGGGUGAUCGGCCACACUGGGACUGAGACACGGCCCAGACUCCUACGGGAGGCAGCAGUAGGGAAUCUUCGGCAAUGGACGAAAGUCUGACCGAGCAACGCCGCGUGAGUGAAGAAGGUUUUCGGAUCGUAAAACUCUGUUGUUAGAGAAGAACAAGGACGUUAGUAACUGAACGUCCCCUGACGGUAUCUAACCAGAAAGCCACGGCUAACUACGUGCCAGCAGCCGCGGUAAUACGUAGGUGGCAAGCGUUGUCCGGAUUUAUUGGGCGUAAAGCGAGCGCAGGCGGUUUCUUAAGUCUGAUGUGAAAGCCCCCGGCUCAACCGGGGAGGGUCAUUGGAAACUGGGAGACUUGAGUGCAGAAGAGGAGAGUGGAAUUCCAUGUGUAGCGGUGAAAUGCGUAGAUAUAUGGAGGAACACCAGUGGCGAAGGCGGCUCUCUGGUCUGUAACUGACGCUGAGGCUC